UAUAGUGAUGAAUAUAAUCACAAUUGUCACUACCUCUGAGGCACAUUUUAUUUUCGUUUUGUAUUGAUUGCAUCUAAGAACGGUGAUAUGAAG
rfam:Brassica napus, WGS project CCCW01000000 data, contig: 966